UGUAGCAUUCUGGUUCAUUCCGUUAAGCUGUAACAAAAAUCUUGGUGCAAAAGCUCUGCUUGAUGUGCACCGUUACAAAUACAGUUUCUUCUGCAGUCUUGCUACAAACAGCAAUCCAUGCAUUUUUGUUUUGAUUUCUAAAUGACAAAUGAACCAAGCAAACGAAGCCAUAUGCAGACAUGCAUUGGCACUGCGCGCGGAUAGCACGCGUGCUAUUUUAGCGAAUAGCACUGCGCUAUCAAUCAUAGCACCUUGCACUCUAGCGAAACUGGUAACUAGGACGCAUUUUUCUUUUGUUUAUCUGGAUUUGAUUGUCAUCGACCACUGGAAAGUCGUGCAAAUAAUUUAAUCAAUUUUUAUCAGAAAGUUUAGUGCAGUGCUUGCGAUGAAGACUUGGAAGUGAAAGGUCCAUGGUUCUAUUCUCUACAAGGUUAACCAAUUUUAUGUUGGUGUAAUAAAAGCGCCAUUUUUUUUUUCUUUUAGAUUAUCGCGAAAAGUCUUUCAAUAUGGCAUGAGAACCUGGAAUUUUUACUAGAUUUUCAGUACUUGGGCGAAUGGAUCAACGCUUGUAGCCGUUAGGGGCACAAAAAGUAUCCCAGUUCAUUAAAAUGCACCAAAUUGACCAGCAAGACUAGUGCCAACCUAAUUUUUUUAAAAAGUUUAUGGGAGUGCUAUAAGGGAGUGCUAAAAAAUAGCACUAGCACUGUGCAAUGCGCAGUGUGCGUAGAACUUGAGGUAAGUGCUAAUUUGAAGUGCCAGUGCAGAGCGUGCCAAUGCAUGUCUGGCCAUAUGUCAUACUCAGCUGACGUGAAAAGAGAUGUGUGCAGAUAUCGCCAUCAACAAAUGCAUCUUUCUGCACAGAAAGAUUAUAUAGUAAUGUUUCGAAGCUAGACAAAAAAAAUUGUGAAAGUAAAACACAUUGUUUAUUAUAAUUAGACAUUUUUCCAGCUAGUAUCAAACAUAUUUAAUCAAAAUGAUGUGUCGGCAAGUUCUUCCGGACGCGACGGAUGGUGGUAUCGAACAGAUUUACAUCGUCAAAACGGAACCCGGCCUGGAGGAUGACGGUGGGUUCGCUAACAUGGUCCCGGAAACGGUUGACGAAAUCAAGACGGAACCAAAGUUCGAGGAGAAUGAAAAUCCGGAUGAUUAUCAACCAGAUGAGGAGGUUGGAUUUCAAACGGUUGAUGUGAUUGUAAAAGAGGAACCAAAAGUGGGUUCGGAUUGCGAAUCGAAUCAGGUGGACAAGAAAUUUGACGUAAGGUCUGAGAAGUCCGCGAAGGAUCAAACUGAUACCAACAAGGGAAAGACUAAACCCAAAACUGGUAAAAAAGAGAAAAAGCCAAGUAACUCCACUAAGGAGAAGGUCGAUAAAGCUCAAGUAAACGAAAAGUUGUUUGCUUGCUCAGUAUGUGGCAAAAAAACUAACAAUGAAUACAAUUUGCAAACGCAUUUGAAAACACACAAAACAAAGAAAAAGGUAGAAAAGGAAAAGGAUUUAACUUGUAAUGUUUGUGGUAAGGUCUCUUUUUCUAACUAUCAUCUACAAAUACAUCUUGAAGGGCAUGAGAGGAAGGCAAAAAAACGGGAACAACUAGAAACAAAGAAAAAAUCGAAAUUGGAGAAGCUUCAACGGUUCGUUUGUCACUAUUGUCCGAGCAAGUUUACCACUAACUAUAACCUUCAGCGCCACGAGGAUCUUCACGACAUUCCGCUAGACCAACAGAUCCACAAGAGAAAAGAGUUCUUUUGUUACGUUUGUGAUCAGGAUUUUGGGUCGAAAGAAGGCAUUCGAGAACAUUUGUACACCCACGCUGACCAGCUGCCGUACACGUGCGAGGAGUGUGAUAAACCAAUAUCUAUCAAAUCGGUGCGUGAUUUAAAUCAGCACUUGGAAAUGCACAAAGACACUACGAAUGGAAGUGUCAAGUGUACCUGGUGUCCGCUACGAUUCCAUUCACUUAAAGGGUGCACAUUCCACGAAAGAACGCACGUCAACGAGGGAAGUAGUGCUUUGGAGGAGCUAGAGCGGAGAGCAAACAUCUUGAGCAAGAAAAAGAACGUCAAAAUCAUCGUCGUUGAAGGAACAUUGCGUUACGCUUGUGAUCACUGCGAUAAAUCGUACACGUUGCUUGACUCGUUACGAGACCACAAGACCACGCACACUGAUUCGGAUAAACCGAAAAAACUGCACGUUUGCACGAUCUGUAACGAGGUGUUUGCCUUUGCCGGAGGGCUUUUUACACACAAACUGGUCCAUUCAGAUUUGUUGCCAUAUAAGUGUGAAUACUGUGACAAAGCAUUUAAAGCUGCUAUUCGUUUGAUUGAACAUCGCCGUAUUCACACUGGAGAAAGACCCUUCGUGUGUGAAUGCGGUCAAGGUUUUGCCAAAAACGGUACAAUGCUGUCGCAUAGAAGGAAAUGCUUAAGAUCUGAAUAUUUAAAAAGCUGCUCUUGUCGAAUUUGCGGAAACGAAUCAUUCCCAAACUAUGCCGGAUUGGUUAAACACGUAACUGAGGUAAGCAGAGUCUUUUGGAGCUUUUGGACUGCACAGUUUUUGAAAAAUUCUAUAUUUUUAGCAACACUUUGAACCCAUACCGAAGACUAAAUGUCAAUUUUGCCCCGCGUUAAGUCAAAAUGCGCUUCUUCUGGUACGUCACGAGCAUCGUCAUCAGAUGCCGAACGUGAUUAAAUGUGAUCAAUGCAACCGCAUCUUCAAAAACAAAGCUAUGUUGGAAGAGCAUGAAGUUACACACAUCAACAAGCCACUAUCAUUUAUUUGUGAUAUUUGCGGAAUGACUUUCAAUCGACUCAAACGCCUACAGAAGCACAAGAAAAACCACACAAAAGUCCGACGGAAGCCUGCCAAGCUGCAUUGUUGUGACAUGUG